rnacentral:rRNA from 1 species
UGCAGUCGAGCGGACCGACGGGAGCUUGCUCCCUUAGGUCAGCGGCGGACGGGUGAGUAACACGUGGGUAACCUGCCUGUAAGACUGGGAUAACUCCGGGAAACCGGGGCUAAUACCGGAUGCUUGAUUGAACCGCAUGGUUCAAUCAUAAAAGGGGGCUUUUAGCUACCACUUACCGAUGGACCCGCGGCGCAUUAGCUAGUUGGUGAGGUAACGGCUCACCCAGGCGACGAUGCGUAGCCGACCUGAGAGGGUGAUCGGCCACCCUGGGACUGAGACACGGCCCAGACUCCUACGGGAGGCAGCAGUAGGGAAUCUUCCGCAAUGGACGAAAGUCUGACGGAGCAACGCCGCGUGAGUGAUGAAGGUUUUCGGAUCGUAAAACUCUGUUGUUAGGGAAGAACAAGUACCGUUCGAAUAGGGCGGUACCUUGACGGUACCUAACCAGAAAGCCACGGCUAACUACGUGCCAGCAGCCGCGGUAAUACGUAGGUGGCAAGCGUUGUCCGGAAUUAUUGGGCGUAAAGCGCGCGCAGGCGGUUUCUUAAGUCUGAUGUGAAAGCCCCCGGCUCAACCGGGGAGGGUCAUUGGAAACUGGGGAACUUGAGUGCAGAAGAGGAGAGUGGAAUUCCACGUGUAGCGGUGAAAUGCGUAGAGAUGUGGAGGAACACCAGUGGCGAAACGCGACUCUCUGGUCUGUAACUGACGCUGACG